AGUGAACGCUGGCGGUAGGCCUAACACAUGCAAGUCGAACGGCAGCACAGUAAGAGCUUGCUCUUACGGGUGGCGAGUGGCGGACGGGUGAGGAAUACAUCGGAAUCUACUUUUUCGUGGGGAUAACGUAGGGAAACUUACGCUAAUACCGCAUACGACCUACGGGUGAAAGCAGGGGAUCUUCGGACCUUGCGCGAUUGAAUGAGCCGAUGUCGGAUUAGCUAGUUGGCGGGGUAAAGGCCCACCAAGGCGACGAUCCGUAGCUGGUCUGAGAGGAUGAUCAGCCACACUGGAACUGAGACACGGUCCAGACUCCUACGGGAGGCAGCAGUGGGGAAUAUUGGACAAAGGGCGCAAGCCUGAUCCAGCCAUACCGCGUGGGUGAAGAAGGCCUUCGGGUUGUAAAGCCCUUUUGUUGGGAAAGAAAAGCAGCAGGUUAAUACCCCGCUGUUCUGACGGUACCCAAAGAAUAAGCACCGGCUAACUUCGUG
rnacentral:rRNA from 1 species